UACGGGAGUGGCAAGCGUUAUCCGGAAUUAUUGGGCGUAAAGCGUCCGCAGGCGGUCUUGUAAGUCUGUCGUUAAAGCGUGAAGCUUAACUCCAUUUCAGCGAUGGAAACUGCAAGACUAGAGUGUGGUAGGGGCAGAGGGAAUUCCCGGUGUAGCGGUGAAAUGCGUAGAUAUCGGGAAGAACACCAGUGGCGAAGGCGCUCUGCUGGGCCAUAACUGACGCUCAUGGACGAAAGCCAGGGGAGCGAAAGGGAUUAGAUACCCCUGUAGUCCUGGGCGUAAACGAUGAACACUAGGUGUCGGGGGAAUCGACCCCCUCGGUGUCGUAGCCAACGCGUUAAGUGUUCCGCCUGGGGAGUACGCACGCAAGUGUGAAACUCAAAGGAAUUGACGGGGGCCCGCACAAGCGGUGGAGUAUGUGGUUUAAUUCGAUGCAACGCGAAGAACCUUACCAGGGUUUGACAUCCUGCGAAUCUCUUGGAAACGAGAGAGUGCCUUCGGGAACGCAGUGACAGGUGGUGCAUGGCCGUCGUCAGCUCGGGUCGUGAGAUGUUGGGUUAAGUCCCGCAACGAGCGCAACCCACGUCGUUAGUAGCCAGCAUUCAGUUGGGCACUCUAGCGAGCCCCCCGGUGAUAAACCGGAGGAAGGUGUGGAUGACGUCAAGUCAUCAUGCCCCUUACAUCCUGGGCUACACACGUACUACAAUGCUACGGACAAAGGGCAGCAAACUCGCGAGAGCUAGCAAAUCCCAUAAACCGUGGCUCAGUUCAGAUCGUAGGCUGCAACUCGCCUACGUGAAGGAGGAAUCGCUAGUAAUCGCAGGUCAGCAUACUGCGGUGAAUACGUUCCCGGGCCA
rnacentral:rRNA from 1 species